AUGGGGGUGUUCAGGUUCUCGGACGAGGCUGUGGCCGCCGUCGUGCCCAUCCUGGUGUACUGGGCCUACUCCGGCGUGCACACGGCGCUUGGCCAUGGACGCGUCAUGGCCAAGUACAGGCUCAACACCAAGGCUGAGGAGGACAGCAAGAACACGGUGUCCAAGCGUGCCGUGCUCGGGAACGUCCUCAUGCAGCACCUCAUGCAGCUCGUCGCCGUCACCGUGCUCACCCCGAGAGGGGCAGGGGGAGCGACCACGGGCGACUCGCCGGCGACCGCGUCGUCGUCGUACCUGACAGCGGCGCAUCAGAUCGCGGUGACCGUGGUGCUGUACGACGCGUACGGCUACGCGUGGCACCGUCCGGCGCACCGCAGCCGGUUCUUGUACCGGCACCUCCACUCGUGGCACCACCGCCUGGUGGUGCCCUACGCGUUCGGCGUCAAGUACGGGCACCCGGUGGAGGCCCUCAUCACCGACAAGGCCGGCGCGUCGCUCGCCAUCCUGGCCUCCGGCAUGUCGUCGUCGCAGCGCGCCACGGUCGUCUUCCUCUCGCUGUGCAACAUCAAGGGCAUCGACAACCACUGCGGGUUGUGCCUCCUGCCGCGCCGCCUGCAGUCGCUCCGGAACAGCGCCGCGUACCACGGCGUGCACCACCUGCCGCACGGCGUCAGGUACAACUUCUCUGACCUCUUCUUCGUCACGUGGGACAAGGCGUUCGGGACGUACCUGCACUACACCAUGCUGGAGAGGCCCGGCGGCGGGGGCUGGUGA
rnacentral:rRNA from 1 species